rnacentral:rRNA from 1 species
GACGAACGCUGGCGGCGUGCUUAACACAUGCAAGUCGAACGAUGAAGCCCAGCUUGCUGGGCGGAUUAGUGGCGAACGGGUGAGUAAUACGUGAGUAACCUGCCUUUAACUCUGGGAUAAGCCUUGGAAACGGGGUCUAAUACCGGAUACGACCAACCCUCGCAUGAGGUGUUGGUGGAAAGGGAUUUUGUACUGGUUUUAGAUGGGCUCACGGCCUAUCAGCUUGUUGGUGAGGUAACGGCUCACCAAGGCGACGACGGGUAGCCGGCCUGAGAGGGUGACCGGCCACACUGGGACUGAGACACGGCCCAGACUCCUACGGGAGGCAGCAGUGGGGAAUAUUGCACAAUGGGCGCAAGCCUGAUGCAGCGACGCCGCGUGAGGGAUGACGGCCUUCGGGUUGUAAACCUCUUUCAGCAGGGGAGAAGCGAAAGUGACGGUACCUGCAGAAGAAGCGCCGGCUAACUACGUGCCAGCAGCCGCGGUAAUACGUAGGGCGCGAGCGUUGUCCGGAAUUAUUGGGCGUAAAGAGCUUGUAGGCGGUUUGUCGCGUCUGCUGUGAAAGCCCGGGGCUUAACCCCGGGUUUGCAGUGGGUACGGGCAGACUAGAGUGCAGUAGGGGAGACUGGAAUUCCUGGUGUAGCGGUGAAAUGCGCAGAUAUCAGGAGGAACACCAAUGGCGAAGGCAGGUCUCUGGGCUGUAACUGACGCUGAGAAGCGAAAGCAUGGGGAGCGAACAGGAUUAGAUACCCUGGUAGUCCAUGCCGUAAACGUUGGGCACUAGGUGUGGGGAACAUUCCACGUUUUCCGCGCCGUAGCUAACGCAUUAAGUGCCCCGCCUGGGGAGUACGGCCGCAAGGCUAAAACUCAAAGAAAUUGACGGGGGCCCGCACAAGCGGCGGAGCAUGCGGAUUAAUUCGAUGCAACGCGAAGAACCUUACCAAGGCUUGACAUAUACUAGACCGCCUCAGAGAUGGGGUUUCCCUUCGGGGCUGGUAUACAGGUGGUGCAUGGUUGUCGUCAGCUCGUGUCGUGAGAUGUUGGGUUAAGUCCCGCAACGAGCGCAACCCUCGUUCUAUGUUGCCAGCACGUAAUGGUGGGGACUCAUAGGAGACUGCCGGGGUUAACUCGGAGGAAGGUGGGGAUGACGUCAAAUCAUCAUGCCCCUUAUGUCUUGGGCUUCACGCAUGCUACAGUGGCCGGUACAAAGGGUUGCGAUACUGUGAGGUUGAGCUAAUCCCAAAAAGCCGGUCUCAGUUCGGAUUGGGGUCUGCAACUCGACCCCAUGAAGUCGGAGUCGCUAGUAAUCGCAGAUCAGCAACGCUGCGGUGAAUACGUUCCCGGGCCU